rnacentral:rRNA from 1 species
GAUGAACGCUAGCUACAGGCUUAACACAUGCAAGUCGAGGGGAAACGAUAUUGGAAGCUUGCUUCUGAUAGGCGUCGACCGGCGCACGGGUGAGUAACGCGUAUCCAACCUGCCCAUCACUUGGGGAUAACCUUGCGAAAGUAAGACUAAUACCCAAUGGCGUCUCUAGAAGACAUCUGAAAGAGAUUAAAGAUUUAUCGGUGAUGGAUGGGGAUGCGUCUGAUUAGCUUGUUGGCGGGGUAACGGCCCACCAAGGCGACGAUCAGUAGGGGUUCUGAGAGGAAGGUCCCCCCACAUUGGAACUGAGACACGGUCCAAACUCCUACGGGAGGCAGCAGUGAGGAAUAUUGGUCAAUGGACGAGAGUCUGAACCAGCCAAGUAGCGUGCAGGAUGACGGCCCUAUGGGUUGUAAACUGCUUUUAUAAGGGAAUAAAGUGGGAGUCGUGACUCUUUUUGCAUGUACCUUAUGAAUAAGGACCGGCUAAUUCCGUGCCAGCAGCCG